CGCGUCAACUACCUCGCCCUCCUCGCCGCCGCCCUCGCCCUGUCCCUCCUCACCAACCCUGCCGCCCUCGUCGCCCUCCUCAUCCUCCUCGCCGCCUGGUGUUUCCUCUACCUCCUCCGUCCGGUGGAUCAGCCCCUCACCAUCCGCGGCCGCACCUUCUCGGACCGAGAGACCCUUGGUGGGCUCGUCGUCCUCACCGUCUUCAUCGUCUUCCUCACAUCCGUCGGAUCUGUCCUCAUCUCCGCCAUCCUGGCCGGCGCGGCGGUCGUCUGCGCUCACGGCGCUCUCCGUGUGCCGGAGGAUCUGUUUCUGGACGAUCAGGAGCCGGGAGGGGCGGCCAGCGGGUUAUUGUCGUUCUUCGGUGGAGCGGUGCCUGCGGCGCCGGUGGUUGCG
rnacentral:misc_RNA from 1 species